rnacentral:rRNA from 1 species
CGCAUCCACCACCACCGCCCUCAUUCCCCCCCGCCAUUCCUUUGGCAUAUCCCAAAAGCGGAGGAAAAGAAACCAACAGGGUCCUUUCCCCAUACGGAGGAAAAGAAACCAACCGGGAUUGCCUUAGUAACGGCGAGUGAAGCGGCAAAAGCUCAAAUUUGAAAUCUGGCGUCUUCGACGUCCGAGUUGUAAUUUGAAGAAGGCGACUUUGUAGCUGGUCCUUGUCUAUGUUCCUUGGAACAGGACGUCAUAGAGGGUGAGAAUCCCGUGUGGCGAGGAUCCCAGUUAUUUGUAAAGUGCUUUCGACGAGUCGAGUUGUUUGGGAAUGCAGCUCUAAGUGGGUGGUAAAUUCCAUCUAAAGCUAAAUAUUGGCGAGAGACCGAUAGCGAACAAGUACAGUGAUGGAAAGAUGAAAAGAACUUUGAAAAGAGAGUGAAAAAGUACGUGAAAUUGUUGAAAGGGAAGGGCAUUUGAUCAGACAUGGCGUUUGCUUCGGCUUUCGCUGGGCCAGCAUCAGUUUUAGCGGUUGGAUAAAUCCUCGGGAAUGUGGCUCUGCUUCGGUAGAGUGUUAUAGCCCGUGGGAAUACAGCCAGCUGGGACUGAGGAUUGCGACUUUUCAAGGAUGCUGCGAGGACAGCAGUU